rnacentral:rRNA from 1 species
GACGAACCGAGCGAACGUUGUUCGGAAUCACUGGGCUUAAAGGGCGCGUAGGCGGGCUGUCGCGUCCGGGGUGAAAUCCCGCGGCUCAACCUCGGAACUGCGUCUGAAACUACUCGACUAGAGUACUGGAGAGGGUAACGGAAUUCACGGUGUAGCAGUGAAAUGCGUAGAUAUCGUGAGGAACACCAGAGGCGAAGGCGGUUACCUGGACAGAUAUUGACGCUGAGGUGCGAAAGCGUGGGGAGCAAACAGG